CGUCACUGGAGUUGUGCAAUGUACUUUCUGUAAUUUCCUGGUUAAAUCAGAUGAUCUUUGUUGUGAUUACUGGAUACCAGGUUCGAUGUUUCUCCACCGAUUAAAAAAAAAAAGAAGUACAGGAAUACUAAUAGAAAUAAAAUAAGAAAAUUAACAGAGGUCUCUCAGCUCACACAAGUUUUGAGAUGUGGAUUUAGCUCUCAUGUGUUCAAUCUCCUCCGAAACUUAAAAAUAAGAAGUGAGUUUUACGAUGUACAGACAGUAAAAUGGCAAGAAAAAAAGAAAUGACAGUAGAAAAUGCAACUGAAAUGCAGAAAAAGGAAACCGCACUGAGAAAUGAAGUCAAACUUGCGCAGAAGAAAAAAACAACAAAGGGAGGAAAAGAAAAUGGCUGUGGAUUCAGAGAACAUCGAAAAGUGCAUCAGAAGAACAGCUCUGACAAAUUUCGACCAACGUUGUCUCUUGAUCAAGAAAGACCUGCAUAGUAUCCUUCUGAUGUGACAGAGAAAGGCAAAGAUGAGAAAGCUGCAGUUGAUCUAACUGGCAGAAUGUUCUUCAAAUCACUUUCAGUCAAUGAUUUGGAAUGAGACUGGAAUACAAUCUAAUGAUCUACUUUCAUAAAUGGAGUCAAGUGUCUUGUUCAAGUACACAAUGAUCACUGUUUUUGAGUUAAUGUCUGUCUUAUUUUUACUGUAAAAUUCUUGACCUUCUGUGAAAGGUCAUGCAAGUGUCAAUGUCUAUACCUGAACAAGUGUCUUUCUUAGUCAUUUUGGCCAACACAGAAUUUAUUGCUAAAUUUCUGUGUUUUUGUUAUUUUUGCACUGCAGCAGUGCACAAUAACUAUGAUACAAUUAUAAAAAAAUGUCCAGAAUGUGUGCAGAAUGUUCCAAUUUGGGCCGCUAAUAUAUAUUUUAAAAAUAUAAUUGAACUUUUGCUAUACUUUCAGAAGCUUUGCAUUGUAUUAUCACAAUGUGGCUGUUCAAACAAUAAAAAAUACAGA